GAGUUUGAUCCUGGCUCAGAUUGAACGCUGGCGGCAUGCCUUACACAUGCAAGUCGAACGGCAGCACGGGAGCUUGCUCCUGGUGGCGAGUGGCGAACGGGUGAGUAAUGCAUCGGAACGUAUCCUGGAGUGGGGGAUAACGUAGCGAAAGUUACGCUAAUACCGCAUAUUCUGUGAGCAGGAAAGCGGGGGACCUUCGGGCCUCGCGCUCUUGGAGCGGCCGAUGUCGGAUUAGCUAGUUGGUGAGGUAAAGGCUCACCAAGGCGACGAUCCGUAGCAGGUCUGAGAGGAUGAUCUGCCACACUGGAACUGAGACACGGUCCAGACUCCUACGGGAGGCAGCAGUGGGGAAUUUUGGACAAUGAGGGCAACCCUGAUCCAGCCAUGCCGCGUGAGUGAAGAAGGCCUCGG
rnacentral:rRNA from 1 species